UGGGGAAUAUUGCACAAUGGGCGCAAGCCUGAUGCAGCCAUGCCGCGUGUGUGAAGAAGGCCUUCGGGUUGUAAAGCACUUUCAGCGGGGAGGAAGGCGUUAAGGUUAAUAACCUUGGCGAUUGACGUUACCCGCAGAAGAAGCACCGGCUAACUCCGUGCCAGCAGCCGCGGCAAUACGGAGGGUGCAAGCGUUAAUCGGAAUUACUGGGCGUAAAGCGCACGCAGGCGGUCUGUCAAGUCGGAUGUGAAAUCCCCGGGCUCAACCUGGGAACUGCAUUCGAAACUGGCAGGCUAGAGUCUUGUAGAGGGGGGUAGAAUUCCAGGUGUAGCGGUGAAAUGCGUAGAGAUCUGGAGGAAUACCGGUGGCGAAGGCGGCCCCCUGAACAAAGACUGACGCUCAGGUGCGAAAGCGUGGGGAGCAAACAGG
rnacentral:rRNA from 1 species